rnacentral:lncRNA from 1 species
CUAGAAUAUGAACAAAGAGAGUAUUCUAAUCGUGUUUUUUUCUUUUCUUUUCUUUCUAGCGUUUCAAGAAGCCAAAUCUACCAAACUUGACAAACCUCUUCCUAGACAAACCUGAUCUCUGUUCAAAAAUCUCCAUAAAUAUCAACAAAGCAUUAAAUUUCCCGGAUAAGCCACGAACGAGGAGUAGAGACAAAAGCAAAGACAUAGGAAAGUCAGCCGGAGAGCAGCUGGAUACGGCUAUCAAAUCACUCGUCAAUCAGCUUGUUGACGAGGAUCCUGUCUUCGACGAUGUUCUCGCUGAAAUCAUAGAUCAAUUACCUACACCUGCUCCGGCACCUUCUUCUCCAAAUAAUACGCCAAAAGUCCAGGAAAUACCAAAGUCAGGAACAAUUCCUGAAAUUAAUCUUGCUCAUGGCGAUGUGUUGCCCACUGCGGACUUUGGAAAUGGUGUUUUGCCCCCAGCAGACUUACAACCCUCAUCACAAAAUGCCCAAAAUGAAAUUUGUCCAAGUAAUAUCUCCAGUCCACAAAAGACAGCAUCACUCACAAAAACCUGUAGCGCAUCAGAAAUCGGAGAGCUCCAAAAGCCUCCGGAAAAUAUAAUUCAAAUUCCGGAAACAAUCUCCAUGCAACCGGCAAGUGCAAUCUCCUCGCAAAUUCCUGCAAGCCACUUGCCAGAACAACUUUCAGUCAAUUACGCAGUGCAUUCUACUGAGUCUUCAACACCGCAGCUUUUAGAACUGACAAAUAUGAAACCAGCAGAGGUAUCAAGCACCCAGCCUCUAACGGUAUCAACAGUGGCGGCGACAGGGUCCAGUGCACAACCGGUAGAAUUGUCGAGGAUAUCGCCUUUGCAGGUGUCAAGCGUACAACCGGUGCAGGUGACAAAUUCACAGAGAGUGGAGUCAAGUAUCAUUGUCUUAGCGGAAGCUGCGAAUUUGGUUGAGUCACAACAGCUGGUGAUGCAGACCGCGGAUGGGUAUUACUCGUUCAUACCAACUAGUGCAGAAGUGAGCUCAACGAUGUCUUCAAAAAUCAUAACGAAUAAACAGCAUGGAACGCUGUUACAUCUCGGUGAGAUUCCAGCUAAAACUGAAUUUGUCAACAUCGCACCAAAGCCGGGGUCAACUAACUCCACCAAUUUUGUGACCGAGAUGCAGACUACUUUUCCACACUCAGCAAUGCCAGCUCGAAUGAAAAGAUCAAGAUCUUCCAAGGAACCACGCCAAUAUGCAAAGAAAAAGAAUGAGGCAACUGGAAAGCUUAAAGAACCACUUGUAGUUGAGGUUCGCAUUCUUGAUGCAGCAAAAGAUGCUCGUUUGGAGACGAGCUCUGAUAGCAAUGAAAAAGUCACAGCUGCUGAAUCAUACAGACAACUUGUUGAAGCAAUGUCAUUUGUGGGCGAUGAAAGAAGUGCAACGCCUAGGAAAACACCUGUAAAAAGCACUAACUUAAUUUCAGUUGAUUCUGCAAUAACUCCUUCUAAACUUGAUUUAGACCCAAACCAGACUAAACCUAAGGAAGAUAAAGAUAUUCCUGUUGAAAUUGCAAUAAAUCUAGAAACUGCACCUACGCCUGGUUCAAACCUACCCAAAAUCAAAACUGCAGAAAACACCACAACCACUGAGUCUGCAUCCAACUGUGGCGUCGAACCCAUUGAAAAUCGAAUCAAAGAAAAAUCUGCCCUGAAAACUACUGACGCUGUAUCUGCAGUUACAGUUCAGAUGAAAACAGCAAUAUCCUCUCCAAAAGAACCACCACAGAAAGCAAAGAAAAAGAAAGAGGUAGCUGCAGAAUUUCAAGAACCAGUUUCAGUUGAGGCUUGCAGCCUUGAUGCAGCGAAAGAUCCUUGUUUAGAGAUGAGCUCAGUCAACAAUGAUCCAGUCACAACUGCUGAAUCAUUCAGACAACCUGUUGAAUCGAUGUCAUCUGUGGGUGAUGAAAGAAGCGCUGUGCCUAGCAAAGCACCUUUAGAAAGUAUAAAUGCAGUUUUAAGUGAUACAGCAAUAACCGCAACUAAACCAGAUUUAGAUCUAGACCAGACUAAACCUAAAGAAGAUUUUGAUAUUCCUGUUGGAAUUGCAUUGAACCUCGCUGAAACAGAAUCUGCAGAAGACACCACAACAAUUGAGUCUCCUCCUAAAUGUGGACCAGAAACCACACUUGCACCUUCAUCGAACCUACCUGAUAUGGAAACUGCAGGAGACACCGAAAAAAUUAACUCUGCACCCAACUGUGGACCUGAAACUGCACUUGCGUCUGCAUCAAACCUGCCUGAAAUGAAAACUGCAGAAGACACCCCAAAAAUUGACUCUGCAUCCAAUUGUGCAGUCGUUUCCAUUGAAAAUCGAACUGAAAAAGAGUCUCCUCCAAAAAUGACUGAUACCGAUGUACUUGAUGAAAUCAACCUAAAGACUGACUCACAGAUUGAAUUUGCUACAAUCUCUCCCUUGCGAGUCCCUAACAACCAUCGACAGAGUUUAAGCACCCGCGACGAAAGAAAAAUCAUGUACGCGUCUUAGACUUUGGCACACCUCAAAAUUUCAAAGACUCGUUUCAGCGAAAAGCCAACACAUCACCAAAAGCACUAAAAUCAAGUGAACCACCCAGUGAACGCAUCAAAAGCAUUCGACGAGCAGAACUCUUUCAAUCGCCGGAAACAUCAUGGUAUUUGGCCACCACUCCGAUACAGUGAACCAUGAUAUUGUAAAGCCAGACACAAAUACGCCGCCCUCUGUCAGAUCAAUUAUGUCUCCACCAAGCUGUAUUAAAGAAGCAUCACCUCUCAGUUGCCAAGAGUCAGUUCCUCCACCUGAGCAGUCAAAGUUUACAAUUGCGACGCGGUCACCUCAGCCUAGACUUAGUGGUGGUUGGGACAAAAUUAAUGGACUGGGGCUCAUCGUAAGCUCCCCAAAGUCAAUCCCUUCUAAGAGCUGCGAUGAAGAUUCUAAUUCACUCAGCUGCUCAAAAUUGCUGGUCAACACUGUCAAACAAACACCGUUGAAGGAGUCCUGGGAUCACAAACUCCGGGCCAUGCUCCGAGGUGACUACGAAGAACCUGAGCCGCCAAAAAAGCAGACACAAUCAAAAAGCAGCCCUAAAAAAUCUAUUCCUAAAGCUAGCCCUAAAAAGUCUAAUCCUAAAACCAGCCCUAAAAAAUCUAAUCCUAAAACCAGCACAAUGUCAAAAGCCAAAGUAAGCCCAAAAAAACGCGGCCAAAAGAAAAAGAUCAAGAUCUCUCCAGUGAAGGUACCUCCUAAACCUUCAAGCUCGAGCGUUCCAGGUAGAUUAUUGUCAGCAAAAGAAAAGAAAAUAGAAAGAGAAAAUUUUCCAUGUGAGACAGAUUUGGAAGUCAGCCAAUCAAAAGUUUUGCAAGAGGCCAAGUCAGAAACAAUUUCUUCAACAGUAAUUGAUCAAAAACUUCUCCAAAAUCCAGUGAUCCAAAUUUGCAAGUCUAUUCAGCCUAAUAUGAUAAGUGAUGACAAGUCACUCGACAUAGGUAAACCUAUCAAAAAGUCCAAAUCUCAUCAAGACCAGGAGAAUACUACUGGUGUAUCACAAGAAAAAUCAGAGGAGACCUGUCAGCUUUCUGAGCAAUUGGAAAGCAGCCCGAAGAAAUACAAUCCUAAAACUAGGUUAAUGCCGAAAGUUAAAUUAAGCCCCAAAAAGAGCGGCAGAAAGAAAAACAUCAAGAUUUCUCCUAUGAAAAUAUCUCCUAGACCUUCUAGCUCUGUAAGUGAGGCAAAUACUAGUCCAAUGUUGAGCUCUUCAUCUUCAGAACUCCCUUUGGUAAAAACACUGACAGCGAAAGGAAAGAAAAUAGAAGAAGAAAAAUUUCCCCGUGAUGCAGAUUCAGAAGUCACUCAAUCUACAAUUUUGCAAGAAACCAAGUCAGAAAAAAUUGCAGAAACUAAUCCUCAGAUACCCAGGUCUAUUCGAUCCAAUAGGACCAAGAAGUUACCUGAUGCAAGUAAAUUUAUCAAAAUGUCAGGACAAGACCAAGACCAGAAGAAUGUAGUCUCAGUAUCACUGGAAAAAUUAGAAGAGAGCUGUCAGUUUGCGGAGCUAAAAAAGCAGACCAAAUCAAGAGUGCGAUCUAAAAAUUCUAACCUUAAAACCAUCACAGUGCCAAAAGCCAUAUCAAGCCCCAAGACACGCAGCCAAAAGAAAAACAUCCAGAUCCCUCCGGAGAAAACAUCUCUCACACCUAC